rnacentral:misc_RNA from 1 species
UUUCAAUUUUAUAUAUGCGGUUGAUGAUUUUCAAUUCUACAAAUUCAGCUAGGGUUUCUAAAUUCAAACUAUAAACUGACAGUACAAUUGAGUAGAAAUUGGUGGAAUUGUGAAUUGUAAUUGCGCCGAUUGGAUUCGGUCAGUGUUACAAAUGGAUACUGGCUCAUCGCCGGAGUCGGAUACGCUCACUCCGAUGGAGCGUAUUCUUAAGAGGCUUGACAUUCUUGGAGUUCCGGCUGAGUAUUUGGAACUACUACAGCCUGGUUUAGUUGCUUACGUGAAGAAUAAUAAGUCACAGAUAGCAGAGUUGGUCCCUGCACUUUUUCCUACUAAUGAGGAGGCAGUGGAGAUUAUUGCAGAACAACAAAUACAGUCUCCAAGAUCCAUGGUCAGCUCAAGCGUUAAUGUUAAAGAUUUAUUCCAAGAAAGUAUGGAGUGGAUACAGUGGUUGAUGUUUGACGGUGAACCAAGUAGAGCUCUGGAGCAACUGGAAGACACUGGUCAGCGUGGUGUUUGUGGGGCUGUUUGGGGUAACAAUGACAUUGCAUAUCGUUGCCGUACGUGUGAGCAUGAUCCAACAUGUGCAAUAUGUGUUCCAUGUUUCCAGAAUGGAAACCAUAAGGACCACGAUUACUCUAUUAUUUAUACAGGUGGUGGUUGCUGUGAUUGUGGAGAUGUUACUGCAUGGAAACGUGAAGGAUUUUGUUCCAAACACAAAGGAGCUGAGCAGAUUCAACCUCUUCCAGAAGAGUUUGCAAACUCAAUGGGGCCUGUACUAGAUUUAUUACUGUCUUGUUGGAGAAAAAGGUUUCUAUUUCCAGAUAGCAUCUCUGGGAGAAAUCCUAGAAAAAAUGAUCAUUCUACUGAGCUCAAAAUGGUGACAGAUGAGUUAACAUCUGCAGUGGUAAAGAUGCUAUUGAAGUUCUGUAAGCAUAGUGAAAGUUUGCUUAGUUUUAUCUCUAGGAGAGUAUCUUCUUCAGCAGGCUUACUAGAUAUUCUUGUGAGGGCAGAGAGGUUUAUGAUCAUUGAAGAAAAUGUCAAGAAGAUUCAUGAAUUGCUGUUGAAAUUGUUGGGUGAACCUCAAUUUAAAUAUGAAUUUGCAAAAGUAUUUCUGAGCUAUUAUCCUACUGUUGUGAAUGAGGCAACAAGUGAAUGCAAUGAUUCAGUUUAUAACAAAUAUCCACUACUAUCAACAUUCUCAGUGCAGAUAUUUACGGUGCCUACUUUGACCCCACGUCUUGUGAAGGAAAUGAAUCUUCUACCCAUGCUGUUGGGAUGUUUAGGGGACAUAUUUGCGUCUUGCGCUGGAGAAGAUGGUAAAUUGCAGGUCAUGAAAUGGUCAAAUUUGUAUGAAACUACUCUCCGUGUGGUUGAAGACAUCCGAUUUGUCAUGAGUCAUUCUGUUGUACCUAGAUAUGUAACUCAUGAACGACGAGAUAUAUUGAGAACAUGGAUGAAACUAUUGGCUUUCGUGCAAGGAGCGAACCCACAAAAAAGAGAAACUGGCAUUCAUGUAGAAGAAGAGAAUGAAAAUAUGCAUUUGCCUUUUGUUUUGGGUCAUUCUAUUGCAAAUAUUCACUCACUUUUGGUAAGUGGUGCUUUCUCUACGAGUAGUACUGAAGAUGGUGCCGAUGCUUUCUUCAACACACACAGAGAGGAUUUUGAAGACCAAGAUAGCCAAAGACAUGCAAAAGUGGGAAGGCUAUCACAGGAAAGUUCUGUAUGCAGUAUGGCUGGGAGGAGUCCAUUAGAACAUGCAUCCAGGGUUCUUGAAGUACAUUAUGAUAGUUCUCCAAUAUCAUCAUCUGUUUUAUGCUUAACAUUUGAGUGCCUGAGGGCCAUUGAAAAUUGGCUGAUAGUUGAUAACACUUCGGGACCUCUCCUUCACAUAUUAUGUCCGAAAACAAGUUCUACUCCCGGCAAUAAUUUCUCUGUGUUGAAAAAAACACUCUCAAAGUUUAGAAGAGGCAGAGAAAUGUUUAAAUCUCAGAGUCCUCCUUCAAAUGACGUUAGACUCGUGACUUCUGCUGAAGGUUAUAAUAAACAAUACUCUAAUCCUUCCCUGAAUGGUCGGACUAUCUUGGAUUCUGGCCUGGGUUCGGGCCAAGAACCAGCUUGUCUUGGUGGUCAUGAUGACAGUAUGCUGGAAGGAGAUAAUGCAUCUGAAUUAGGAGAACUGCGGUUGCUGAGUUUGUCUGAUUGGCCUGAUAUAGUAUAUAAAGUUAGUCUGCAGGAUAUAUCAGUUCACAAUCCGUUGCAGCGAUUACUUUCAAUGGUUUUACAGAAGGCACUAGGCAAAUGCUAUGGGGAGAAUGCACAACCAGUUGCUAGUUCUGCUAAGUUGUCAUCUUCUGUCCAUUAUGACUUUUUUGGCCAUAUUUUGGGAGUCUACCACCCACAGGGUUUUUCUGCCUUCAUUAUGGAACAUGCACUUCGGAUUAGGGUGUUUUGUGCUCAGGUUUAUGCUGGAAUGUGGCGUAGGAAUGGUGAUUCUGCUAUAUUAUCCUGUGAGUGGUAUCGCUCUGUCCGCUGGUCUGAGCAGGGUCUGGAGCUUGACCUCUUUCUGCUACAAUGCUGUGCUGCACUAGCACCAGCUGAUUUAUAUAUCAGUAGAAUUUUAGAACGUUUUGAGUUAUCAAAUUACCUCUCGUUCAAUCUUGAACGUCCUAGUGAGUACGAACCUGCUUUAGUUCAAGAGAUGCUUACUCUUAUUAUUCAAAUAUUGAAAGAACGACGGUUUUGUGGGCUAACCUCGAGUGAAUGUUUGCAAAGAGAAUUAGUAUAUAGACUAUCAAUUGGUGAUGCCACUCAUAGUCAGCUGGUGAAGUCUCUUCCUCGCGACCUGUCCAAGAUUGAUAAAUUUCAGGAAGUUUUGGACAAAAUCGCAAUUUAUUCAAAUCCAUCUGGCAUGAACCAGGGUAUGUACAAAUUGCGAUUGCCCUAUUGGAAGGAACUGGAUCUUUACCAUCCUCGUUGGAAUUCGAGGGAUUUGCAAGUAGCCGAAGAGAGAUAUAUGCGUUUCUGUAAUGCAUCGGCAUUGACCACUCAGCUUCCAGGAUGGAGCAAGAUUUAUCCACCACUUGGUCGUAUAGCUGAAGUAGCUACCUGUAGGACAGUCCUCCAAAUUGUCCGUGCUGUUGUAUCAUAUGCUGUGUUUUCUGAUGCAUCAAAUGCUUCAUGUGCUCCAGAUGGUGUUCUGUUAAGAGCACUGCAUUUGCUGUCAUUAGCAUUGGAUAUUUGUCAUGCACAUAGGGAAUCUGGUGAACAUAGUUGCUCUAACGGAGAUGUUAUUCCAAUUUUAGCUCUAGCUUGUGAAGAAAUAUCAGUGGGUAAAUUUGGUGAUCAGAGCUUGCUAUCUCUUCUCGUGUUGUUAAUGAGGAAACACAAGAAAGAAAAUUACUUUGUGGAGGCUGGAAUGCUUAACCUCUUAUCUUUGGUUGAAAGUGUUCUGAAGAAAUUUGCUGAACUGCAACCUGAAUGCAUGAAAAAAUUGCAAGAUCUUGCUCCAGAUGUGGUCAAUCAGUUAUCUCGAUCCUUUCCAGCUGGUGAUAUGAAUAGCUUCAAAUCAGUUUCAGAUAGUGAUAAGCAUAAGGCUAAAGCUCGAGAGAGACAAGCUGCUAUGCUGGAGAAGAUGAGGGUUCAACAAUCCAAGUUUUUAGCAAGCAUUGAUUCCAAAACAGAUGUUGCCGCAGAUGAUUCUAAACACGGCAAAGACUUAUGCGAUUCAGAUGGUAGACCUAGAUCUGAAGAGGCUACUCCUGUUAUCUGCUCUCUUUGCCGUGAUCCAAAUUCUAGAAGUCCUGUAUCUUACCUAAUUCUUCUUCAGAAAUCCAGGCUUCUCAGUUGCACCAACAGAGGUCCUCCUUCAUGGGAACAAACUCGCCGCCCUGGGAAAGAGCCCACGUCUUGUGCCAAACAUGUGCCAAACAUUUCAUCUGAAAGGAGCAAUCUUUCAAGAAGUUCAGAAAUUACUUCAUCAUCUUGUUUAAUGCAAUUAAUCCAAAAUAAAGUAAAUGAGUUUGCUUUAGAAGGACAACCUAAGGAAGUGGAAGCAUUUCUGGAAUAUAUCAAGGAAAAAUUCCCCUCAAUGAAGAACAUUCAACCCUCUUGCGCAUCAAGCACUGUAAAGAAAAAGACAUCCUCUUCCUUCGAGAUGCUAGAAGAACACAUGUACUCGUUGAUUUGGGAAGAAAUGGAUGCUAAUUCAUGGAACUGGGAUCUUUUAAAAAAUGAUAGGAAACUAUCAGCUUUGGGUGAUAAUGGGAGUGCUGAGUCACUUCUGCUUGGAAGAUACAUUUCUGCUCUUUCAAGAGAAUGUAGUCCUUCUGCAUCAACGAAUAGCCGCAAGGCACAAUUGGAGUCAAGUAUGCUGCUUCCAACAUACAAUGGAUUUGGUCCAUCAGAUUGUGAUGGAAUAUAUCUUUCAUCCUGUGGGCAUGCUGUGCAUCAGGGAUGUCUUGACCGUUAUUUAUCAUCUCUAAAGGAAAGAUAUACCAGAAGAAUUGUUUUUGAAGGAGGUCAUAUUGUAGAUCCAGAUCAGGGGGAGUUCCUCUGUCCUGUAUGUCGUGGACUUGCCAACUCAGUCCUGCCAACCUUACCUGUAGAUUCUGGAAGGUUCACAUCCCUUCAUUCAUCUUCCAGUCCAUCAGAUGCUGUUGGCCCUUCAUCCUCGUCAAGUGCAGUGGUAGAUGCACUUCAAUUUAAAGAAGCUUUAUUUCUCCUACAAAGUGCUGCUGAUGUUUCUGGAAGUAGAGAAAUUAUCCAAAGACUUCCACUUCGGCAGUUUGGGCGCAUGAGGGUAAACCUUGAAUCUUCGUAUCAUGUAUUGUGUGGAAUGUACUUUCCAGACAAUGAUAAGAUUUCAGAAUCUGGUAGACUUAGUCAUUCUCUGAUUCUGUAUGACACUCUUAAGUACUCACUUAUAUCAACUGAAAUAGCUACUCGAUCCGGAAAGACAUCAUUAGCUCCAAACUACAGUCUUCGUGCCUUGUACAAAGAACUACAAUCUUCAAAUGGUUUUAUACUUGCUUUGUUGCUAAGUAUUGUACAAAGUACACGAACAAAUAACUCACUCACUGUCCUCUUGAGACUCAGAGGCAUUCAGCUGUUUGCAGAGUCUAUAUGUUCUGGCACUUCUGCAAAUGAAAUAUCAGAUCCAUCUGUUGGAGGUAAUAUGCAAGCCAUCUUGGAAUGUGCUGAAACAGAAAAUCAGUAUCCUGAUAUUCAGUUCUGGAGAUGGUCAGCUGAUCCA